CUGUGAGCCAGUAAAGGGCAGCCUAGGGCACAGUGGUGGGAAGGAAUCCUUACUACCUUCUACUUGAAUGAGGAGUACACUAACUGCACGCAACGUGGAGCUGUUUAGAGAUGAGACGGGAUGUUGAUGAAAUAAAAAGGCUCACGGCCAAAAGCACAGUCGUAACUGAGCUGAUGAAAGGCUGACUUAGCACUGCUGAAAACCGACCACGGCGCAGAGUACAAAACUAAGAAGUCAUCUCAGAAAGCAGAGAAAAUAAGAGAAAGGGAGAAAAAAAAAGAGGAAACUUCAGAAAAUAGAAACACAGUGGAAAUCACAGAGAUCCAACCCAUGGAUAAAAUGUGUUGGCCAAAGGGAAGUCAAAACAUCACAUUGAUCAUAAGCAAAGGCCAGGACAUAACAGAAAAGAACUUUUGAGAUAUGAAAAAAUGACUGGCGACUAAAAGGUAAAAUGAAGGAUCAGUUCUUAGAGACCAAUGCCAAGAAGCAUCUGGCUUUUCAUUUUCACAUUUCAAGUAUUAAAAUCAGGCAAUAAAAAUAAA